rnacentral:lncRNA from 1 species
CUUAACAGGAUUUAGUGACUAACUGGAUGUAGAGAGUGGAUGAUGAAAGGUGGAAAGGAGUAAGUUCCAGAGUCCUAGCAUGUGAGAAUGAGUAGAUGAAGAUCCAUCAACCAGACUAGCGAUAUAAAAGGAAGAGUAUGUCUUAGAGGUGAAAUCAUGAUCAAUUUUGGACAUGCAGAGUGAGAGAUUUCUGAGUGAUCGCCAUUAGCCAAACUCAACAGGAAAACAGGGGGCAAGGAAGCCCAUUGAUAUCAUCCAACCAGGUCAGCCUCGAAGGGCAAAGAGCUGAGUAGAGAAAAGCAGAGGGUGGCUUUGAAAUCCAGCCUGAGGAAAGCCUACAUGGAGGAGAAAAGAUGAGAGAAAAUGAAAAGGAGCUGAAUGAAAGCCCUGGAAGAGCUAUAUCCGAAGCCAGGCUAUUUCUGGUCUUUUCAGAUACUUGAGCUAAUCAAUUCCAUUUGUUGUUUAAGAUAAUUUGAGUUGUAUUUUCUAUUUUUCAUAUCCAAAAAUACCCAAGGUGAUACACCAACACUAUAAAGUUCAAACUCAAAAUCUGGCAUAUGUCCACUCUCUAAUAACAACUAACCUAUUUCUCUCUAUAUUUUUCAGCACUUUCAAUAGAACUUCCUGCAAUGAUGGAAACGUUCUAUAUCUGUGCUGGCCAAUAGAGUAGUCACUAGCUACAGUUAAACAGCACCUGAAAUGUGACUAGUGUGGCUGAAGAAGUGAAUUUUUAGUUUAAUUUAAUUGGACACGUGUCUAGCAGCUAUCAUAUUGAACAGCACAACUCUAACCUAAUGAAAUUUUCCUUGAGUAUAACCCAGUCUUUCCACCUUCCUUUGCUUAGUUUGUCCUUUUUACCUGGAGUACCUGAUUGUCUGUCUUCACACAGAAGAAAUGUAGACAUCCUUAUAAGCCAUCCUUAUAAACACAGCCAUUACAAGUUCAAAUGUCUCCUAUUCUAUGACGUUUUUUUGAUCACACUAUGCAGAACUGUGAACUUCUCCAAUCUAUUACUUCUAUUUUCU